GCUGAAUUAAGGGAGAAAGGGAACUGACUUUUAUUGAGCCCCUGCUGUGUGCCAGGGUCUGUUGUAAUCUAGAUUGAGACUGAUAUGUAACAGGAGGUGUCUAGCAAAUUAAUGGGGUGGGCCCACCAAAAACAUGCUCAUAUGAAGGGUAAAGAGACUCCCCGAGCCUGACUCAAAGCCGGUCGUGAGAGAGGAGGGAUAAUGAUGAAGAGACUAAGGAUCAGAGAGCUUGAGCAACUUGCCUGAUAAGAUUCAGAAAGCGAGUCUUGUGGGGAAGGCAGGUCCAGCCUGAGGAGAAUAUCAGCGGGUAUUUGUGUUGAGAGGAUCAUAAAGUGAGUGAUGACAAUGAAGCUGGAGGAGGUGCCUAAGGAAAUGGUGGAGACGUCUGUGGCGGUGGUGACGUGAAAAGGGUACUGAAGAACAAUAGGAAUGUUCCUAUGUUCAUCAUCAUACUGAUAAACGUGCUAAAAAACCAAGUAUAGGUUCCAGACCAUCUGCUAUUUUCUUUACCCUACCCCUGGAAUGAACCAUUUCUCCGGGGUUAAUUCUGCAGCUUUGAUUUCCUUUAUUGAAGAAUUGUAUUUCGAACCAAGAUCUGGGCACCAAGGUAUUCUCAUUGCUGCAAGAUGUCAUUGUUUCUAGUUCUUCUCAGUCAACAGAACUAGGAAAGAUACACAUUCAUAUUUAUUUAUGCAUGUAUCUAUAUGUAUACAUAUUAACCAUGCAUUCUUACCUCCCCCAACACUACAGGUAUCAUGCUAGCCUUUCCCUUCUCCUUAUUUGUAGCUUUUUUGUUGUUGACAGUGAGAAACCUAGCUCUCACUAUCCACGAUAUGUUUACUUAAUUUUUUGAUCCUAAUAUACACAUAAAGUAGUUUCAGAAUUAUCAACCCGUACUAACCUACACAGAAUUAUCAACCCAUACUAACCUACACAGAAUUGUACAGAUUGGUUUUUUUCUUUUGGUCUUUAACCUUGCAGUGCCCAGUCAAAAUACUCUUUUCCAAAGAUAUUUAGGUUAGUUUUUUCUUCACUACUGCCUUCAGUUUGGUUAUGUUAGUCAUUUGUAUUACAGUCAGAUUCAUUUGUUGUUGUUUGUAUUCCAUUUGAGGUUCCCAUCACAUUCUGGUUGAUUUUUAAUUAUUUAUUUAUUUAUUGUAUGUGAAAUAUUACCAUGUGUAUUAGUCAGUUUUUUCUAGAGAAACAGAACCCCAGUAGGAUAUAUAUAUAUAUAUAUAUAUAUGUAUAUAUAUAUAUAUAUACAUAUAAAUGUAUAUACACACACACAUAUCUUAAUUAUGAGGAAUUGGCUCACGCAGUUACAGAGGCUGAGAAGUCCCAUGACCUACUGUCUGCAGGCUGGAGAUGCAGGAACUCCAGUGGUAUAAUUCAGUCAAUGCCUGAAGGCCUGAGAACCAGGGACACCAAUGGUUUAAAUCUCAGCUGGAGGACAGUAGAAGAUGAGAUGUCCCAACUCAGCAGUGAAGUAGGAAAAAAAGAGUGGAUUCCUAUAAGUGAGAUUAUUGGGUCAAAAGAAUUUUCAGAAUGCAUAAAGAUAUUUGCACCCCUAUGUUCAUGGCAGCAUUAUCCACAAUAGCCAAGACUUGGAAACAACCUAAGUGCCCAUCGAUGGAUGAAUGGAUAAAGAAGAUGUGGUAUACAUACACAAUGGAAUACUACUCAGCCAUAAAAAAAAGAUGAAAUCUUGCCAUUUGCAACAUCAUGGAUGGACCUUGAGGGUGUUAUGCUAAGUGAAAUAAGUCAGACAGGGAAAGUACUGUAUGAUUUCACUCCUAAGUAUAAGAUAAAAACAACAACAAUAACAACAAACAAACACACAGAUACAGAGAUUAAGUUGGUGGUUACCAGAAGGAAAGGGGAGAAGGAGGAGGAAGAAAGGGAUGAUAGGACACAUGUGUAUGAUGAUGGAUGGUAACUAGUCUUUGGGUAGUGAACAUGAUGUAGUCUACGCAGAAAUUGAAAUAUAGUGAAAUUUAUAUAGUAUUAUAAAAAAAUGUUUCCCCAAUAAAAAAGAAAAAAGAAUUUUUGGGUCUCUGCUCCGGAUUGUGAUUGACUUUUCAUAUUUG
ensembl:lncRNA